rnacentral:rRNA from 1 species
AUUGAACGCUGGCGGCAGGCCUAACACAUGCAAGUCGAACGAGUGGCGGACGGGUGAGUAAUGUCUGGGAAACUGCCUGAUGGAGGGGGAUAACUACUGGAAACGGUAGCUAAUACCGCAUAGCAUUAGGAGGGGCCCGAUUGGAUUUGCUUGUUGGUGGGGUAACGGCCCACCAGGGCGACGAUCCCUAGCUGGUCUGAGAGGAUGACCAGCCACCCUGGAACUGAGACACGGUCCAGACUCCUACGGGAGGCAGCAGUGGGGAAUAUUGCACAAUGGGCGCAAGCCUGAUGCAGCCAUGCCGCGUGUAUGAAGAAGGCCUUCGGGUUGUAAAGUACUUUCAGCGGGGAGGCGUUACCCGCAGAAGAAGCACCGGCUAACUCCGUGCCAGCAGCCGCGGUAAUUC